AGCUCAGCGAUCGAGGUGUGGGCCGCGCGGCGCGGAAUGGAAGCGCGGGGAGUGCUCGGCGGAAGCCCGGGGUGCAGCGGGAUCGCCGGCUGAGGCCCGGGGAGGUUUAUUCACCCCGAGUCCAGCCCUCCAUUUUGUUGUUCUCGUCUCACUUUGUUUUUAAGAUAAGUACUCACUAUGUAGUCUGGGCUGGUUUUGAACUCAUGACCUCCUGUCUCUGCUUCCAGGUGCUGGAAUGACAGAUGAUGGGUGUGCACCACUACAUGUGACUUCUGUCUACUUUACAAGUAUCAAUCACUUUUAUCUUGAUAUUUCAGGUGAAAUUCUACCUUUAGUAGAAGAGGAAGAUUUUAUUUAUUUAUUUAUUUAUUUAUUUAUUUAUUUAUUCAUUUAUUUAUUAAUCCAUGUGUGUGAGUACGCUGUCCCUGUCUUCAGACACCAGAAGAAGGCAUCGGAUCCCCAUUAUAGAUGGUUGUGAGCCACCAUGUGGGUGCUGGGAAUUGAACUCAGGACUUAUGGAAGAGCAGUCAGUGCUCUUAACCGCAGAGCCAUCUCUCUGGCCCAGAAGAGGAAGAGCUAAUUCAUUUCUGGAAUCUUGGGCUACUGAGCCCCUACUUCCUGUCCCAUUUGUUUAUUUAUUAAAUAUAUUCUGAGACAGGUUCUGACCAUGUCACCCUUGCUGGCCUCAAACACUUAUGUAGAUCAGGUUGGUCUCGAACUCACAGAGAUCUGCUUGCUUCUAUUGCCUGAAUCUUUGGCCAUCAUGCCCAGGGUUUCCCUGUAAUUGACACUUGUCCGUGAGUUCUAUGGCUAGAGUGUUCAUGCUCUAUGAUUUGUCCCUGUGACCAAGCUGGAUCCACCCCCCGGGAUUUGGAGGACACCAGGCAAGUGCAGAACCAGAACUCUGGCAUUGGACAGGAGAAGAGACUGCUCUGAAGAUGACUGCUCACCAGCUGGGUGGGCCGGGAACCUCGAGGAUUUAAUUUAAAACAGUACCAGUUAUUGAGUCUCUUGGACUUCCUGCAGAAGCAAAUGGAAACGUUCUAUGGGGAAACCACUUCAAGUUCCAACAGAUACCUUCUAAGGAAGACGAGAAAUGGUUUGAGGUUAAAAAAAAAAUAUGAGGGAAUAGACCCGAGUUCAAAAACAGCAGAGCAAACGGCAACAGAGACCUCAGCUCUCGGGAGUGGCGUGUGUGUCACGAAAGCUUCGUAUGUUUAAAGAAAUGAAUGAUGAGCGUGCUUAUAUAGAUGAAAAUUAAAAAAAAAAAAGACUAGAAACCACCCAAGCAGUUUUCCAAAAGAGUCAAAUAGACAUCAUAGGUGAAAAAUAUGGUUACCGGUCAAACAGAAAAUCUACUGACAUCCAGAGGAGAAUGGGUUGCAGCUCUAAGUUCCAUUGGAUAGCAUGAAACGUGAGUGUGCGGAAAGACGAUUGGUGGAGAAAUGACAAACUACAUGUAAUAAAAUGUGGAUGUAAAUCC
ensembl:antisense Gm2415 predicted gene 2415